AAGUCGUAACAAGGUCUCCGUAGGUGAACCUGCGGAGGGAUCAUUAACACGUUUUAAAACACGUUUUAACACAACCAACCAACCACGUGAACUAUUUAACACUCCUGGAAGAGAGAGAAUUCUGUCUCCUCACACUAAUGAUGAGCUCUCGCAAGGGAGCGGUGUGUUUAGACUAGCAUUGCAGUUUCCGCAAGGAGAUUGACUUGUACAGACCUUUCUUUUCUGGGCUAAAUGCCUCUCUCAUCACUGGGGCGAAAACACCACUUUCACUACUUCUAUAACCAUUGACUGAUCUUUUUCUAUUCUGAAAAGAACUGAAAAACACUUAAUCAAAUAUCUAAGCACAACUCUUAGCAACGGAUAUCUUGGUUCUC
rnacentral:misc_RNA from 1 species